GACGAACGCUGGCGGCGUGCUUAACACAUGCAAGUCGAACGGAAAGGCCCUGCUUUUGUGGGGUGCUCGAGUGGCGAACGGGUGAGUAACACGUGAGUAACCUGCCCUUGACUUUGGGAUAACUUCAGGAAACUGGGGCUAAUACCGGAUAGGAGCUCCUGCUGCAUGGUGGGGGUUGGAAAGUUUCGGCGGUUGGGGAUGGACUCGCGGCUUAUCAGCUUGUUGGUGGGGUAGUGGCUUACCAAGGCUUUGACGGGUAGCCGGCCUGAGAGGGUGACCGGCCACAUUGGGACUGAGCUGCGGCCCAGACUCCUACGGGAGGCAGCAGUGGGGAAUAUUGCACCAUGGGCGGAAGCCUGAUGCAGCAACGCCGCGUGCGGGAUGACGGCCUUCGGGUUGUAAACCGCUUUCGCCUGUGACGAAGCGUGAGUGACGGUAAUGUGUAAAGAAGCACCGGCUAACUACGUG
rnacentral:rRNA from 1 species